rnacentral:rRNA from 1 species
CCUACGGGUGGCUGCAGUGAGGAAUCUUGGUCAAUGGGCGCAAGCCUGAACCAGCCAAGUCGCGUGAGGGAAGAAGGCCCUACGGGUUGUAAACCUCUUUUGCCGGGGAGCAAGCCUGAGCACGUGUGCCAAAGCAGAGAGUACCCGGAGAAAAAGCAUCAGCUAACUCCGUGCCAGCAGCCGCGGUAAUACGGGGGAUGAGAGCGUUAUCGGGAUUUAUUGGGUUUAAAGGGUACGAGGGUGGGCUGUUAAGCCGGCGGUAAAAAUGCAGGGCUCAACCCUGUCGAGCCGUCGGUACUGGGAGACUUGAGUGGGCGAGAAGUAAGCGGAAUGCGUGGUGUAGCAGUGAAAUGCGUAGAUAUCGCGCAGAACGCUGAUGGCGAAGGCAGCAUACCGGCGCCCAACUGACGCUGAGGCACGAAGGCGUGGGGAUCGAACGGGAUUAGAUACCCGUGUAGUC